CCUCCUCUCCUAGUGCCUGCAUGUUCGAACACUUUCAAUCAGUUUUGGAGCUGAUAUAGAUCAAAGAAAGGUGCAGAGAGUAUAAAGAAGCUCAAUGUAUGAAAUAUAUUUUCAGAAGAAUUGCCGCAACAUGUUGUUAAUAUGCUAAGAAGCUGGUGUAUUUCUAUACUAGGUAGUGCCUUACAAACUGAAAUGGAGAUACAACGCUGACAGAAGAUUACAUAACAUACAGUACAACAGUGUGAAUUGCUGUGUUUCUCCAACCUGUACUGAACAUAACCUUUCACAGAAAAUGUUUGUAAAGCAUUUAUCAUCUUGGGAUUUUGUUGUCUGGGAAUGCCCCUGUGGAUUUCCCCACCCCCAAACUGAGCGCCCUCUGAUUGCAGAGGAAAACUCAGAAAAAGGCUGUUUGCUUUAAAUACAUAAAAUGCUCCAAAGAAGACACUUUAUCACAGCAUGUCCGUCUGUGACCCUACCACACAAUGUUGACUGACUAAGAACUGGCAACAAUAAGAUAAGAAGAAAUUAGAAUACUUACACAACAAAAUUGUACAAUGAAGUCUUCUACCUUCUGCUUCACCUCUAGACAUAGAUAUAUACAUUCUGGAAUUCCAGUAGAAGGGCUUCAUAUUAAGAAUGUGUGGUUAGUGAAUAUCUUUAAGACAAAAUAGGUUGAGAUAGAAUCUAUCCCAAGUUGACUGGUCCGACAGAUGGACCAGUCAACUUCUGGUUUGCUGAACAUGGAGUCUAUUGUAAGUCUGUUUCUUCUAAUUUCUGCAUCAGUCUGGAAUUUUAAAGACAUCCACAAAUGUAACUAUACACGUCUAAAAUUUCUUGCUGUUGUAUGUUUUUGCAUGCACCUUUUCCUAAUGGAUGCACUUCUAUACACAGCUUGCCAACAACUCUAUUUUAUAGCCAAUUUUUGAGCCAAGAGUUGUGUAUAAGAAUGCAUUAUCUGAAAAUAAAUGCAUGUUAAUUUGAAGUACGAACAAGGCUGGUCAGCCAAAAAGACAGAGCAAACAAAAUUCUCUAUUUUAGUUUCUCAUUAAGAUUUUAGCUUCAGACCUCUCUCUUUCUAUGCCAAGAUCAUCAUAGCUACCAGCUUAUAUGGCAGAUUCUGAUAGCUAUAAUAGGACAUAUAUAGGACUUUUGUUGAAUGACAUCUUGAGCAGGUGGAAUAUAAAUCUGGUACCCUCAUCUAUAUGGGAGAAACACCCCACCCCCUGCUUUUUGCCACCUUGAUGAAAUGUGACAGGACCUUCUUCCCAUGUCCUUCCAAUCAGUGACACUUCUCCUUGCUUCAAUCUACCCUGCAGGCAGCUCAGCACUUCAGACAGUGCUGCAGUGGGGGCGAAAGAGGAAGACUCAAACCUAGUUUCAGCUAACUGGCUGACUCAGAAAUGAAAUUAAGAAAUAAGAACAACGGAUGACAUAUUUUUGGGAAAUUUCCUUACUCUGAUACUUAUCAUACUUGUUUAUUACUCUGCCUUAGCAGCUAUGCUUAGUCUGAGUAUAGUAAAGAUAAUAUUCAUUGAAGUUCACACCCAUCUUCUUCUUGAACUGGUCCUUAUGAAAUGGUUUGGUUGUCACCAUUCACUCAGAAACCAGAAGAUAAUUUCUACAUCAUGCAGAGCCUCCCUUUCAGUCUGGUGAACUACAAUCAUGAAUUAUUUCCUCAAAUAUGUUUUCAGCAUGACAACACUACUUUAUUUUAUAAGAUGUACUGAAGCUGAAAAACACAGCAGGGUCAACUGCAGUUAGCAGCUGUCCUAGGGAAACAGGAAGAAAGAGAAAGAAGUUCCGCAUGCACCAACAGUAACACCAAGUGCCAGGAAACAGUUAUCGAAGAUGAAAUACAAGUUUCCAUGGAAGAGACAGAAUGGUCCUCAUGGAGAAAAACUUUCAAAGCUCUCUAGUAGGAAAUAUUUCUAUCUUUAAUGAGGAUUAAAAGGCAUAGCAAGGAAUGAGUCCUUGGCCAUAUGUUUUAAAAAUAUGACUUGGAAAUUAAUAAACACACAGCUAUGGGAUUUGUGUAAUUCUACCAUGUAAGACUACUGGUUUUUAGUUAGCCUUUGUCAUUACUCUUCCACUUAUCCAAAUAGUUUAAAACAUUUUAAUUCAAUCUCAUAAAUCCACACACCACACUAUUUUCAACAACAAAUUAUGCAAGCUGAAAACAGGAAAA